AUCCAGCUGAAAAGUGCCGAAUAGGACGAAACGCGCGUCCUGAAU
rfam:Schistosoma mansoni strain Puerto Rico chromosome 2, complete genome